rnacentral:rRNA from 1 species
UACGGAGGGUGCAAGCGUUAUCCGGAUUCACUGGGUUUAAAGGGUGCGUAGGCGGCCCUGUAAGUCAGUGCUGAAAUAUCCCGGCUUAACCGGGAGGGUGGCAUUGAUACUGCGGGGCUAGAGUAACAGAUGAGGUAGGCGGAAUUGACGGUGUAGCGGUGAAAUGCUUAGAUAUCGUCAAGAACACCUAUAGCGAAGGCAGCUUACUAGGCUGUAACUGACGCUGAGGCACGAAAGUGUGGGGAUCAAACAGG